UCUUUUCCUAGUUGCAGUUCAAACCAUAAUCACUUCUUGUUCCAAAGCCUCUUGUAGCUGCAUAUCUGACAUGCCAAACCUACCUUUCUGCAAAACCAUGUGAGUGACAAUUAGAGAUCAGGGCUAAGAUGAAUCUAUGCUUUUCAGCAAACCUGUUUAGAUUUAUCUUUUCUACUUGCAGUUAAAAUCACAAUCACUUCUUGAUCCAAAUCCUCUUGUAGCUGCAGACCUUACAUGCCAAACCUACCUUUCUGCAAAACCAUAUUGAUGGCAAUAAGAGGUAAGGUCUAGAUGAAUCUAAGCUUUUCGGCAAACCUGUUUAGAUUUAUCUUUUCUACUUGCAGUUAAAAUCACAAUCACUUGUUCCAAAUCAUUCUGGAGCUGCAAAUCUGACAUGCCAAACCUACCUUUCUGCAAAACCAUAAUAAUGUCAGGCUUAACAAACUGUGAAGAAAUUAACAAAUUUGAUGGAACAAUAUCAGGAUUGUAGUAUUUCAGUCAUGUAAGAUAUGGUGUCGCCAAGGGUUUUUUUUUUUUUUGAAAAGAGGUUGUGAACAAUAUGCAAAGCGGCAGAAAGAAACAACACAAUUUAUAGGAACAGGAUUUUUUUUUUACAAGGAAAAUUGUUUGCCAGACAACAGCAG
rnacentral:lncRNA from 1 species